UUUUUAUAAAUUUUAGAUUUUACGUUUUCUUUAGUAAUGAAUUUUUAUACUUUAAAAAGGGGGAUUUUAUGAAACUUUGGUGAAUAUAUUAAUGUAACAUCCCUUUUGAUUUGUAUAUAUAUUUCUAGUUGAUCAUAUAAAUUCAUUUAAAGCAUAAAAGACAAGUUAAAAGAGCAACGGGCGUAUCAUGCGCUAAAGCGCAGCCCUUUAUUCGAUAAUGAU
rnacentral:lncRNA from 1 species